UAAGGUUUGCUUCGGCACAAGUUAAGUUGAAAAACUUAUGAUCAGUUACAAGCUGAUACUUGAAAGGUUAAGUUCUUUAUUCUUUAGCUAAAUAUGACUUUUUAAUUUUCUUAUUUUGUUUACUAUUUCAAUAUCUAUUUCCAAGGUUAAUACCUCUACCUCGUCUUUAAAUAAUUUCAUGAUAGGGUUAGUAGCUAAUUUUUAAUUUUAUUAAGUUGAAUGGUGGUGUUCCUCCAAAAGUCAUGUUGGGUUAUUUUACUUCUUUUGUUUGCUAAUUAGAAAUAGAAAAUUUAUAAACUCUAAUUUUUGAAAAAUGGCAUACGCUUGAAGGUUGGAAAUCGAAGAACAUAAGGUUUGCGUCGGCACAAGUUAAGUUGAAAAACUUAUGAUCAGUUAGAAGCUGAUACUUGAAAGGUUGGAGCUUGAAGAACAUGAGGUUUACGUCGGCACAAGUUAAGUUGAAGAACUGAUGAUUAGUUAGAAGCCGAUACUUGAAAAGUUGGAGCUCGAAGAACAUAAGGUUUGCGUCGGCACAAGUUAAGUUGAAAAUCUUAUGAUCAGUUAGAAGCUGGUACUUAAAAGGUUAGGUUCUUUAUUCUUUAGCUAAAUAUGACUUUUUAAUUUUCUUAUUUUGUUUACUAUUUCAAUUUUUAUUUCAAAGGUUAGUACCUCUACCUCGUCUUUAAAUAAUUCCA